rnacentral:rRNA from 1 species
UGUCGUGCUGGGGAUAGUGGCGACGGGUGAGUAACACGUGAGUAACCUGCCCUUAACUCUGGGAUAAGCCUUGGAAACGGGGUCUAAUACUGGAUAUUGACUUUUCCUCGCAUGGGGAUUGGUUGAAAGAUUUAUUGGUUUUGGAUGGACUCGCGGCCUAUCAGCUUGUUGGUGAGGUAAUGGCUCACCAAGGCGACGACGGGUAGCCGGCCUGAGAGGGUGACCGGCCACACUGGGACUGAGACACGGCCCAGACUCCUACGGGAGGCAGCAGUGGGGAAUAUUGCACAAUGGGCGAAAGCCUGAUGCAGCGACGCCGCGUGAGGGAUGACGGCCUUCGGGUUGUAAACCUCUUUCAGUAGGGAACAAGGCCAGUGUUUAGCUGGUUGAGGGUACUUGCAGAAGAAGCGCCGGCUAACUACGUGCCAGCAGCCGCGGUAAUACGUAGGGCGCAAGCGUUAUCCGGAAUUAUUGGGCGUAAAGAGCUCGUAGGCGGUUUGUCGCGUCUGCCGUGAAAGUCCGGGGCUCAACUCCGGAUCUGCGGUGGGUACGGGCAGACUAGAGUGAUGUAGGGGAGACUGGAAUUCC